ACUUGGGUGGCUCAGUUGGUUAAGUGUCCGACUUUAGCUCAGGUCAUGAUCUCAUAGUUCGUGGGUUCCAGCCCCACCUCAGGCU
rnacentral:tRNA from 1 species